AGAGGUGUACUGGUCAUUGGUCCCUUAAGUUACAAUAUUAAUUGGUUCCAGGACGACCAUUGUAUGUUGAAACCAUUGUAAGUUGAGUAAUCAGUUACAAAGCCCCAAAAUAUCAUCCAAGAUCAGAGAAAAUGAAGAUUUAAGAACAAUAAGCAGAUAACUAAGACAGAUUAAUCAAGUCCUUACAUAUAACAGUCGGGAA